UACAGAGGGUGCAAGCGUUAAUCGGAAUUACUGGGCGUAAAGCGCACGUAGGUGGCUUGAUAAGUUGGGUGUGAAAUCCCCGGGCUUAACCUGGGAAUUGCAUUCAAGACUGUCUUGCUAGAGUGUGGAAGAGGGAAGCGGAAUUCCAGGUGUAGCGGUGAAAUGCGCAGAUAUCUGGAGGAACAUCAGUGGCGAAGGCGGCUUCCUGGUCCAACACUGACACUGAGGUGCGAAAGCGUGGGGAGCAAACAGG
rnacentral:rRNA from 1 species